GACGAACGCUGGCGGCGUGCCUAACACAUGCAAGUCGAACGAACAGACGCGGUCCUUUCUCCUCUGAGUUUAUCGGCGGACGGGGGAGUAACAAGUGGUUAGCAUACCUACCAGACCGGGAUAAUAACGGGAAACCGGGGCUACUAACGGAUAAUAUAUUGAACCGGAUGGUUCAAUAGUGUAAGAAGGUUUUGCUUUCGGUUAUAGAUGGACCCGCGGCCUAUCAGCUGGUUGGUGAGGUGAUGGCUUACCAAGGCGGUGAUGGGUAGCCGACCUGAGGGGGAGGUCGACGAGCCGGGAGGGGAGGAGCGGUCGAGACACCUACGGGGGGCAGCAGUAGGGAAUCUUCCGCGAAGGGCGAAGGCCUGACGGAGCAACGCCGGCGGGUUGAUGAUGGACUUCGUAGGGUUGAGCUCUGUUAUUAGGAGAGAAGAAAUGUUUAAUUAACUGUGCACGUCUUGACGGUACCUGGACAAAAAGCCACGGCUAACUACGUG
rnacentral:rRNA from 1 species